rnacentral:rRNA from 1 species
AGUGAACGCUGGCGGUAGACCUAACACAUGCAAGUCGAACGGCAGCACAGUAAGAGCUUGCUCUUACGGGUGGCGAGUGGCGGACGGGUGAGGAAUACAUCGGAAUCUACUUUUUCGUGGGGGAUAACGUAGGGAAACUUACGCUAAUACCGCAUACGACCUACGGGUGAAAGCAGGGGAUCUUCGGACCUUGCGCGAUUGAAUGAGCCGAUGUCGGAUUAGCUAGUUGGCGGGGUAAAGGCCCACCAAGGCGACGAUCCGUAGCUGGUCUGAGAGGAUGAGCGGCCACAGUGGAAAGGAGACACGGUCCAGACCACUAAGGGAGGCAGCAGUAGGGAAUGGUGCGCAAUGGGCGAAAGCCUGACGGAGCAAUGCCGAGGGAGGGAUGAAGGUCGUAGGAUAGUACACCGCUGUUAUGAGGGAAGAAAAAAUGUGUAAGUAACUAUGCACGUCUGGACGGUACCUAAUCAGAAAGCCACGGCUAACUAAGGG